UGCCUCCCCAGUGCUGGGAUUAAAGGCGUGCGCCACCACUGCCUGGCUCUUUCUGUAGCUCUUAACAUGGGAGUACAUGCUAUCUCUGGCUUCCUGAGUACAGUCAGCUUCUUAAACAAAGGAUGCUUGACAUUUCUCAAAGAGAACAAGAACUGACUAUUCUUUUAACACAAUCAGUUGUGAGAGUCUCAGCUCUCCUGGAAUGUUGGGCAGUACCCUAGGUUCAACUCAUGGAAGCUCUGGAAGACAAGGAAAUUAAAGCACUUAUGGAAAUUACGUCAGAAAUAGUACACACGACCCUAUUCUGACUAGGAAAGGAAGAUGAUUUAUUCUGAAAGGUUCGCACAUGUAAAGGCUGUUCAGCUGGGUACAUUCCAGACCUGCUUAGGAGAAAGGUAAGUGAUAGAACUUUCUCAAAAACAUCAUGCCACAAAACACAUUUUUUUGAAUAAGAGUGGUAUAUUUAAAAUUUUUUUUUAUGCAAAAGCAGACAUGUAACCUAAAGUAAGACUCUUCUAGCUACAUAAUGACAAGUUAGGAAACUAUUAUGGGUUAGCAGAAAUGUUCUCUAGCAAUGCCCAAAUGAUCUGAUGUUUCAUUAUUUCAUAUCUUAGGAUGUCUAACAUAUAGCAUGUUUGAUAAGUGACUGAUAGGCAUCUUGGUCACACUUCAUUACCACAAAAGCUCUUUUCCCAGUAACUAUUAUGAAAAACAGAACUUUAUUUUCUUUAUUUUCUUAGUCACCUUUUAAGACCUACCCUCUCAAAUCUGAAAGUAUUAAAAACAAAACAAGAAGAGCCAAGAGUCUUGCUGGGCAUGGUGACUCAUGCCUGCAGUCUAACAGCUGGGAAAUGGAGGAAUGCUGGUGCUGUGCCUGAAGAUGUGAGCCACCACAUUUGACUUUUUACGUGGUGAUGGAACUCAGGUGAUCAUGAUUGUGUUGCACACCUCUACCCUGUUUGUUUGUUUGUUUGUUUGUUUGAGACAGAGUCUCUCUACAUAGCCCUGACUGUUCUGGCACUCACUAUGUAGAACAGGUUGGCUUCCAAAUCACAGAAGUCCAUCUGUUUCUGGAGUGCUGAGAUUAAAGAUAUGUACCUCCAUACCCAGCUAUUUUUAAUUUGCUAUAGAAUUAUUCCUGUAAAGGUCACUGCUGACUUCCAUGCUGCUAAAUUAAAUGAUCAGCUCUUGGUUUUUAUCUUAA